rnacentral:rRNA from 1 species
CAAGUCGUACGCGACUUGGACUUCGGUCCAAGUUGAGUGGCGAACGGGUGAGUAACACGUGGGUGACCUACCUUCGAGUGGGGGAUAACGUCCCGAAAGGGACGCUAAUACCGCAUAACAUCCUGCCUUUGAACAGGUGGAGAUCAAAGCCGGGGAUCGCAAGACCUGGCGCUUGAUGAGGGGCCCGCGCCUGAUUAGCUAGUUGGUGAGGUAACGGCUCACCAAGGCGACGAUCAGUAUCCGGCCUGAGAGGGCGGACGGACACACUGGGACUGAGACACGGCCCAGACUCCUACGGGAGGCAGCAGUGGGGAACUGUUCGCAAUGGGCGCAAGCCUGACGACGCAACGCCGCGUGGAGGACGAAGGUCUUCGGAUUGUAAACUCCUGUUGCUCGGGACGAAAAGCUUCGACCUAACACGUCGAAGUCUGACGGCACCGAGUGAGGAAGCCCCGGCUAACUCUGUGCCAGCAGCCGCGGUAAUACAGAGGGGGCAAGCGUUGUUCGGAAUUACUGGGCGUAAAGGGCGCGUAGGCGGCCUGCUAAGUCGAACGUGAAAUCCCUGGGCUCAACCCAGGAACUGCGUCCGAUACUGGUUGGCUUGAAUCCGGGAGAGGGAUGUGGAAUUCCAGGUGUAGCGGUGAAAUGCGUAGAUAUCUGGAGGAACACCGGUGGCGAAGGCGACAUCCUGGACCGGUAUUGACGCUGAGGCGCGAAAGCCAGGGGAGCAAACGGGAUUAGAUACCCCGGUAGUCCUGGCCCUAAACGAUGAAUGCUUGGUGUGGCGGGUAUCGAUCCCUGCCGUGCC